UGCAGUUAAAAAGCUCGUAGUUGGAUGUCGGAGUGGGCCAGUUGGUCCGCCGCAAGGUGUGUUACUGACUGGUUUGCUCUUCUUCGCAAAGACUGCGUGUGCUCUUCAGUGAGUGUGCGUAGGAUUUACGACGUUUACUUUGAAAAAAUUAGAGUGUUCAAAGCAGGCUAUUGCUUGAAUACAUGAGCAUGGAAUAAUGGAAUGGGACUUUGGUCCCAUUUUGUUGGUUUCUAGGGCCGAAGUAAUGAUUAAGAGGGACAAUUGGGGGCAUCCGUAUUUCGUUGUCAGAGGUGAAAUCCUUGGAUUUACGAAAGACGAACAACUGCGAAAGCACUUGCCAAGAGUGUUUUCAUUAAUCAAGAACGAAAGUUAGAGGAUCGAAGACGAUCAGAUACCGUCCUAGUUCUAACCAUAAACGAUGUCGACUAGGGAUCAGCGGGCGUUAUCGUACGACCCCGUUGGCACCUUACGGGAAACCAAAGUUUCUGGAUUCCGGGGGAAGUAUGGUUGCAAAGCUGAAACUUAAAGGAAUUGACGGAAGGGCACCACCAGGAGUGGAGCCUGUGGCUCAAAUUGACUCAACACGGGAAAACUUACCAGGUCCAGACAUAGUA
rnacentral:rRNA from 1 species